CCAGAUUAUUGGCUGAUUGCCCCGCACCUUUUCUGGGUGUAGCAGUCUGUAAUCAGAUUGCGUAACGCCACGAAAAGGUGCGGGGAGGAAAGUCCGGGCAGCAAAGGGACUGGUAGUUGCUAACAGCAACCGGGGGCAACCCUAGGGAAAGUGCCACAGAAACGACACAACCUAUCUUCCUAAAGAAGAUCGGAAAUGGUGAAACGAGUGGGGUAAGAGCCCACAGUUUUGGCGGGUGACCGCCAAAAGAGGUAAACCCUGCCUGCUGCAAGGAGAUAUGUCGCAUAUAUAGAGUUCCCGCUCGCGGCAGCAUCAUAAGAACCGCUCGAAUUUAUUGGCAACAAUAAAUCUAGAUAGAUAAUCAGCUAAAACAGAACCCGGCUUACGGAUAAUCUGGCCCA
rnacentral:RNase_P_RNA from 1 species